rnacentral:rRNA from 1 species
CCCUUAGAUGUCCUGGGCCGCACGCGCGCUACACUGAUGCAUUCAACGAGCCUAUCCUUGACCGACAGGUCCGGGUAAUCUUUGAAUCUGCAUCGUGACGGGGAUAGAUUAUUGCAAUUAUUAAUCUUCAACGAGGAAUGCCUAGUAGGCGCAAGUCAUCAGCUUGCGUCGAUUACGUCCCUGCCCUUUGUACACACCGCCCGUCGCUCCUACCGAUUGGGUGUGCUGGUGAAAUGUUAGGAUCGGCCGUUUGUCGCGGUUUCCGCGGCUCGUGGCUGAGAAGUUCAUUAAACCCUCCCACCUAGAGGAAGGAGAAGUCGUAACA